rnacentral:tRNA from 57 species
GGGCGGUUAGCUCAGUGGUAGAGCACUGCCUUCACACGGCAGGGGUCGCAGGUUCGAACCCUGCACCGCCCACCA